AAGAAGUGUAACCGUAUGGAAUCAAAGAUACCUCGGGGGCUUCCCUGGUGGCGCAGUGGUUGGGAGUCCACCUGCCAAUGCAGGGGACACGGGCUCGUGCCCCGGUCCGGGAAGAUCCCACAUGCCGCGGAGCGGCUGGGCCCGUGAGCCAUGGCCGCUGAGCCUGCGCGUCCGGAGCCUGUGCUCCGCAACGGGAGAGGCCACAACGGUGAGAGGCCCGCGUACCGCAAAAAAAAAAAAAAAAAGAUACCUCGGGACUUCCCUGGUGGUCCAGUGGGUAAGACUCCACCUUCCCAACGCACGGGGCCCGGGUUUGAUCCCUGGUGAGGGAACUAGAUCCUGCAUGCAUGCCGUAACUAAGAGCUCGCACGCCACAACUAAGACCCAGUGCAGCCGAAAUAAAUAAAUAAAUACUAAAAAAAAAAAAAAAAAAGACUUCCUCCUUGACAUCACGUCAGAAUUCACCUAAGGACGGCGUAGACUAAAGGGAUCUGGUGGGAUUCCAUUGCACCAAGGAGCCUUCUUUAAGGACUUCUGUGGACAGCUUCUGUUUUGUUCUCCCCCACGCUGACUUUUCAGAGUCCAUCUUUGGACCAGGUGGCCAACCUGAGUUGUCAGCUCAUGAGGACUCUUGCCUUUGGGGAUUCCUGCAGCUCAGAUAUUCUGAGACAUCACAAUACUGACCCCAGGGCCCUCCAGUGACCCCAGGCAAGAGGCUGUUCCUUCUGUGCAGGCUGUCAAGGGAGUGAGGCCCGACCCUGGACUCACCUGAUUUUCAACUCUCUUCUAGAGAAGACGUCUCCCAAGAGACUCAUAGAUACUUAACGAAAAAGACAAGAGUGGGAUGAGCAGGAUGUGUUAAUCCUUCGACUCCCAGGCUGGAGGCUUUUGGGGCUCGCGGGUCUGGAUGAGACAGCACCACCUCCGCUCACUCCCCCAGCACCCCUGUCCCAAACCGUCUAAUCCCGGUGCGUCUGCUUCAGAAAUAUUUCUGAUUGGUCCCGCUUUCUCUCUGACGUCACUGUCAUUGGAUCUCCCGAUCCAACCCUCCUUCCUUCUCACCUUGACUGCGACAAAACCUCCUCCGCACCCUUUGCUCCAAUAUGGCCCUUGGAUGUCACUGCCAACCUGUCUCCUCAUCAAUUCUAGAAUAAAAUCCAAUCAUCACGAUACCCGUGUCAGAGCACCCUUCUUGUUCAGUCAGCAUGGACCCAUGACGGCUCUGAAGCAUCCCUGAGGAUUCCAGGCACACAUGACCUCCCGGGCUCAUCAAUGCUCUCCUGACACUGAUUCUGCCAGUAUCCAAGCCCGUGUUUCUCAAGGGUGGCCCUGAAACCAACUACAUCAGGAUUCCUGGGGUGCUUGAGGUUCAUAUCGCUAUGAAUCACAUGAAGCCAGAAAUCUCUCGCUUUAAGCAGCUCCCCAGGUGAGCCUUAUGCAUCGCAAGCUGAGACUGCAGCUCCGGGCAGGCUGUGUCGUCCAACUCUGCAGAAACCCCUACAUUAAACACGGCGACCUCUAAUUAGAAUUCAAAAUUCUAAUUUCCGAUACUUCACAGUUUCACCUGUGCAGAGGAAGUCAUCUGAAAACACAGUACUGUCAGAAUGGAAAGGGAAGCUACGACC